GUGCUUGCUUCAGCAGCACAUAUACUAAAAUUGGAAUGAAACAGAGAAGAUUAGCAUGGCCCCUGCACAAGGAUGACACGCAAAUUCGUGAAGCAUUCCAUAUUUUU
rnacentral:snRNA from 1 species